GAUGAACGCUAGCGGGAGGCCUAACACAUGCAAGCCGAGCGGUAGAGUCUCUUCGGAGACUUGAGAGCGGCGCACGGGUGCGGAACACGUGUGCAACCUGCCUUUAUCUGGGGGAUAGCCUUUCGAAGGGAAGAUUAAUACCCCAUAAUAUACUGGAUGGCAUCAUCUGGUAUUGAAAACUCCGGUGGAUAGAGAUGGGCACGCGCACGAUUAGAUAGUUGGUGAGGUAACGGCUCACCAAGUCAGCGAUCUUUAGGGGGCCUGAGAGGGUGAUCCCCCACACGGGUACUGAGAAACGGACCAGACUCCUACGGGAGGCAGCAGUGAGGAAUAUUGGACAAUGGGUGAGAGCCUGAUCCAGCCAUCCCGCGUGAAGGACGACGGCCCUAGGGGUUGUAAACUUCGUUUGUAUAGGGAUAAACCUAGAUACGUGUAUCUAGCUGAAGGUACUAUACGAAUAAGCACCGGCUAACUCCGUG
rnacentral:rRNA from 1 species